CGGGGUGCAGCAGGCGCGAAAACUUUACAAUGCCGGCAACGGCGAUAAGGGAACCUCGAGUGCCAGGUUACAAAUCUGGCUGUCCAGAUGCCUAAAAAGCAUUGCAUAGCAAGGGCCGGGCAAGACCGGUGCCAGCCGCCGCGGUAACACCGGCGGCUCGAGUGGUAACCGUUAUUAUUGGGUUUAAAGGGUCUGUAGCCGGCCGGGUAAGUCUCUUGGGAAAUCUGGCAGCUUAAUUGUCAGGCUUUCAGGAGAUACUGCCUGGCUCGAGGCCGGGAGAGGUGAGAGGUACUUCAGGGGUAGGGGUGAAAUCUUGUAAUCCUUGAAGGACCACCAGUGGCGAAGGCGUCUCACCAGAACGGACCUGACGGCAAGGGACGAAAGCUAGGGGCACGAACCGGAUUAGAUACCCGGGUAGUCCUAGCCGUAAACGAUACUCGCUAGGUGUCGGCCACGGUGCGACCGUGUUCGGUGCCGCAGGGAAACCGUGAAGCGAGCCACCUGGGAAGUACGGCCGCAAGGCUGAAACUUAAAGGAAUUGGCGGGGGAGCAC
rnacentral:rRNA from 1 species